rnacentral:rRNA from 1 species
CAUUACAGAGUUUGUGCCCGCGAGGGUAGAUCUCCCACCCGUGACUUGUGACACUGUUGCUUUGGGGAGCCCCGCUCCCCAGAGACCAAACCCUGUAACUUGCGUCGUCAGAGCACUAUAUAAUAGUUAAAACUUUCAACAACGGAUCUCUUGGUUCUGGCAUCGAUGAAGAACGCAGCGAAAUGCGAUAAGUAAUGCGAAUUGCAGAAUUCAGUGAGUCAUCGAAUCUUUGAACGCACAUUGCGCCCUAUGGCAGUCCGUAGGGCAUGCCUGUCCGAGCGUCAUUGCACCCCUCUCGCCCUGCGAGGUGUUGGCCGGAGCCCCUGGGCCCGGCUCAAAAACAGUGGCAGCGUCCCCGGGACCUCAGCGUAGUACACAUUCCGCUCGAGCUACCCUGGGUGCGCCCCACAACCAACCCCACCAGUUUGACCUCGG